rnacentral:rRNA from 1 species
UACAGAGGUCUCAAGCGUUGUUCGGAUUCAUUGGGCGUAAAGGGUGCGUAGGCGGCGCGGUAAGUCGGGUGUGAAAUCUCGGAGCUUAACUCCGAAACUGCAUUCGAUACUGCCGUGCUUGAGGACUGGAGAGGAGAAUGGAAUUCCUGGUGUAGCGGUGAAAUGCGCAGAUAUCAGGAAGAACACCCGUGGCGAAGGCGGUUCUCUGGGACGGUACUGACGCUGAGACGCGAAAGCGUGGGGAGCAAACAGG